UUUGACCUCAUUAGUUCAUUACCGUAAUUAUAUAUCAUUAUAUAUUAGCAAUUGACCUUGUUGUAUAUACCAUUUCCUUGCCGACUCCUAUAUUUCAUUUAUAUUAAGUCUUCUCUUAAAUGUUUGUCAACUUCAAGCUUUUUUUCCUCUCUCAUACUUGUGUUCAUAUUUUUUCUUAACCAUUUUUAUGCAAGUAACCUAAAUCUAUACUCUU
rnacentral:lncRNA from 1 species